AGUGAACGCUGGCGGUAGGCCUAACACAUGCAAGUCGAACGGCAGCACAGUAAGAGCUUGCUCUUACGGGUGGCGAGUGGCGGACGGGUGAGGAAUACAUCGGAAUCUACUUUUUCGUGGGGGAUAACGUAGGGAAACUUACGCUAAUACCGCAUACGACCUACGGGUGAAAGCAGGGGAUCUUCGGACCUUGCGCGAUUGAAUGAGCCGAUGUCGGAUUAGCUAGUUGGCGGGGUAAAGGCCCACCAAGGCGACGAUCCGUAGCUGGUCUGAGAGGAUGAUCAGCCACACUGGAACUGAGACACGGCCCAGACCCCUACGGGAGGCAGAAGUGGGAAAUAUUGGACAAUGGGCGAAAGCCUGACCAAGCCAUACCGCGUGGGUGAAGAAGGCUUUCGGGUUGUAAAGCCCUUUUGUUGGGAAAGAAAGGAAGAAGGUUAAUCCCCGGUUGUCCUGACGGUACCAAAAGAAUAGCACCGGCUAACUUCGUG
rnacentral:rRNA from 1 species